AAGAUGUAGAUUCUCCUGGGGCAUACCCUUCAGUCUGGAUGUGUAUUUUCAUCUGUUGGUAUCAAUCUAUACAGUAAAUACCAUUCAGAUUGCAGGGUGGUCCUUCCAAGCAAGUUUAAGUCUU
rnacentral:precursor_RNA from 14 species